rnacentral:rRNA from 1 species
CCUACGGGAGGCAGCAGUGAGGAAUAUUGGUCAAUGGACGAGAGUCUGAACCAGCCAAGUAGCGUGAAGGAUGACUGCCCUAUGGGUUGUAAACUUCUUUUAUAAAGGAAUAAAACGAGGCACGUGUGCCUUUUUGCAUGUACUUUAUGAAUAAGGAUCGGCUAACUCCGUGCCAGCAGCCGCGGUAAUACGGAGGAUCCGAGCGUUAUCCGGAUUUAUUGGGUUUAAAGGGAGCGUAGAUGGGUUGUUAAGUCAGUUGUGAAAGUUUGCGGCUCAACCGUAAAAUUGCAAUUGAUACUGGCAGUCUAGAGUACAGUUGAGGUAAGCGGAAUUCGUGGUGUAGCGGUGAAAUGCUUAGAUAUCACGAAGAACCCCGAUUGCGAAGGCAGCUUACUAAACUGUGACUGACAUUGAUGCUCGAAAGUGUGGGUAUCAAACAGGAUUAGAUACCCUGGUAGUC